rnacentral:rRNA from 1 species
AUUGAUUUUAUGCUUGCAUAAAUGAUUUUUGGAUUCGGAGCGAGUGGCGAACUGGUGAGUAACACGUGGGUAACCUGCCCCGAAGCGGGGGAUAACAUUUGGAAACAAGUGCUAAUACCGCAUAAUUAGUUGGAACCGCAUGGUUCCAACUUGAAAGAUGGCUCUGCUAUCACUUUGGGAUGGACCCGCGCCGUAUUAGUUAGUUGGUGAGAUAAAAGCCCACCAAGACGAUGAUACGUAGCCGACCUGAGAGGGUAAUCGGCCACAUUGGGACUGAGACACGGCCCAGACUCCUACGGGAGGCAGCAGUAGGGAAUCUUCCACAAUGGACGAAAGUCUGAUGGAGCAGCGCCGCGUGAGUGAUGAAGGUUUUCGGAUCGUAAAACUCUGUUGUUAAAGAAGAACAAGUGUUAGAGUAACUGUUAACACUUUGACGGUAUUUAACCAGAAAGCCACGGCUAACUACGUGCCAGCAGCCGCGGUAAUACGUAGGUGGCAAGCGCUGUCCGGAUUUAUUGGGCGUAAAGCGAGCGCAGGCGGUUUUGUAAGUCUGCUGUGAAAGCCCUCAGCUCAACUGAGGAAGUGCAGUGGAAACUACAAAACUUGAGUACAGAAGAGGAAAGUGGAACUCCAUGUGUAGCGGUGAAAUGCGUAGAUAUAUGGAAGAACACCAGUGGCGAAGGCGGCUUUCUGGUCUGUUACUGACGCUGAGGCUCGAAAGCAUGGGUAGCGAACAGGAUUAGAUACCCUGGUAGUCCAUGCCGUAAACGAUGAAUACUAGGUGUUGGAGGGUUUCCGCCCUUCAGUGCCGCAGCUAACGCAUUAAGUAUUCCGCCUGGGGAGUACGACCGCAAGGUUGAAACUCAAAGGAAUUGACGGGGGCCCGCACAAGUGGUGGAGCAUGUGGUUUAAUUCGAUGCUACGCGAAGAACCUUACCAGCUCUUGACAUCUUCUGCCAACCCAAGAGAUUGGGCGUUCCCUUCGGGGACAGAAUGACAGGUGGUGCAUGGUUGUCGUCAGCUCGUGUCGUGAGAUGUUGGGUUAAGUCCCGCAACGAGCGCAACCCUUAUUAUUAGUUGCCAGCAUUUAGUUGGGCACUCUAGUGAGACUGCCGGUGAUAAA